GGGGUGUGUUCCGUUAUUUGGAUAACUGUGGUAAUUCUAGAGCUAAUACAUGACCUAUACGUUCAGCGCAAGCUGGAUGUGCUUUUAUUAGUGUAAACCAUGUCUUCGGACGGAAGUGGUGACUCUGAAUAACUUUGCCGAGCAUUUAAGCUUUAUGCUGGUGCUAUUCCUUCAAAGUUUCUGCUCUAUCAACUGUCGAUGGUAUAUUAUAUGUUUACCAUGGUUGUAACGGGUGACGGGGAAUUAGGGUUCGAUUCCGGAGAGGGAGCCUGAGAAAUGGCUACCACAUCUAAGGAAGGCAGCAGGCGCGCAAAUUACCCAAUCCCGGCUCGGGGAGGUAGUGACAAUAAAUAACAAUGCGGGACUCUUUCGAGGCUUCGUAAUUGGAAUGAGUACAUUCUAAAUCCUUUAACGAGGAACAAUUGGAGGGCAAGUCUGGUGCCAGCAGCCGCGGUAAUUCCAGCUCCAAUAGCGUAUAUUAAAAUUGUUGCGUCUAAAAAGCUCGUAGUUUGAAAACUUGUCUUGGCGGAUUUUGAUUGGCUCUCUACGUGGGUCACCGUUCGCCGAGCACAAAUAUGGAUAACUGUUCUUGCCGUCUUUACUGGCUGGCCUGAAUCGGUUGUCAAAUAUCACUUUGAUUAAAUUAGAGUGCUUAAAGCAAGUAAAUUUACUGGAAUAUAAAUGCAUGGAAUGAUGGAAUAUGUUAUUGUUCUAUUUGUUGGUUUUUGAACAAUAAAAUGAUUGAAAGGAACGGUUGGGGGCAUUCGUAUUGUUGUGAGAGAGGUGAAAUUCUUAGACCACAGCAAGACGAACUACUGCGAAAGCAUU
rnacentral:rRNA from 1 species